CACCGAAUAACGUAUAAAUAAAAUAGGACCAAAUCAAUCGUUUGGUAGUUUCAAUUUGUUCGUUGACAACAGUUGAUCGUGCAUCUCAAGAAGAAGAAAAAAAAAACACCAAAAUGUCGAAAGUUUUGUUCACAGUUCUCGUUGUUUGCUUCGCACAGCUCGCUUACGGCCGCGUUGCACGUGAAUCAGUAACAACAUCCACAGCCAGCCCAUUAGUUGGACUGAUCGAACAGAGUUUUGAGGGAGUCAAAGUACUUUUUGAUGGAGUUCACAAUGCCACCCUCAAUUUGGCCGGAGUUAAAAGUGACGAUGAAUUCUGGGGCAAAGGCAAAGAAUUAUUCACCACAUACCAAAAGACAUUGGAAUCAAGUUUGGCUGAUCUUGAUGCAAAUACCAAAGACAUUCAAGGUAAAGCUAAAGACUUGUACACAGCCUUCACCGCCAAAAUAGCUACAGUCCUCAACGAUUUGAAAGCCAAAAACCCAGAACUAUUCAGCGGAGAUGUUCAGAAGUUGCAAGGUAUUGCCGAUAAAACUUUGCGCACCGUUGUUCAAGAAGGCCAAAAACUGAAGACCCGUUUGGAAGCUGAAGGAGAACGGAUCAAACCACAAGUUGAAGCCACACUCAAGCAAAUUACCGAAGCCGCCACAAAGACAGCCACUGAAUUCAAAACCAAUGCUGAAGCUGCCAUCAAAUCAAUCGUCAAAAACUAAACAUUCAAUUAUAUAACCGCACUCGUUUUUCAUUCGAUGUGUGCAUUAUUUUCCGUACUGCGAUAAAAGCCUAUAUAAACAAUGUUAUUAUAUUUGACAAUAUUUGACUCGAUGUCAAUGACGAUGUGGCAGCGCCACCUAUAGAUAUUCCUUAUUAAAAUAAGUGGAACUAUUGAGUGCGUGCACCAUAUCGUACGUAAAUUUUCAAUAUGGCAGCGCCCAUAGAAUUGAAAAGUUAACCGAUUUCGUAGUCACAAAUUAUCGCUGUACGUCAUUUUCAUGUCAAAUAAUUUAUGGACGAAUAAAUUCGAAAAUAUUUUUUUUUACACUCAAUGCUGCUUGUGUUAUAAUUUUUUUAGUUUGUGUCGAUUUGUUGGCAGAAAAUAUAAUCAAAAGUUGUUUACGAGGCAACAGACAAUGUGACGAUCGACUAGUGUAUGCUGAUAAGAGUGCAAAGAUUGAAGCAUCGCUAUUUUUUUCUCUUCUCAUUCGUUUUCUCUCUCUUUCUGACAUGAUUUACACAAGCUCGGCAUUUAUUUCAAAAUUAUCAGCUUGUUGCUCGUGUUCUUUAUGCACCGAAAAUGGUAUAAAUGAAAUAGAACGAAGUCAAUCGUAUGUUAGUUUCAAUUUGUUCGUUGACAACAGUUGAUCGUGCAUCUCAAGAAAGAAAAAAAAACAUCAAAAUGUCGAAAGUUUUGUUCACAGUUCUCGUUGUUUGCUUCGCACAGCUCGCUUACGGUCGCGUUGCACGUCAAUCUGUAACAACAACCGAAACGAGCGUAAUUGAUGAGCUGUUUCAAGGAGCCAAAUCACUUUUUGAUGAAGUUCACAAUGCCACCCUCAAUUUGGCCGGAGUUAAAAGUGACGAUGAAUUCUGGGGCAAAGGCAAAGAAUUAUUCACCAAAUACCAAAAGUCAUUGGAAUCAAGUGUGGCCGAUCUUGAUGCAAAU